ACAUGCAAGUCGAACGGUAAGGCCCUUCGGGGUACACGAGUGGCGAACGGGUGAGUAACACGUGGGUGAUCUGCCCUGCACUCUGGGAUAAGCCUGGGAAACUGGGUCUAAUACCGGAUAUGAGCUCCUGUCGCAUGGCGGGGGUUGGAAAGGUUUACUGGUGCAGGAUGGGCCCGCGGCCUAUCAGCUUGUUGGUGGGGUAAUGGCCUACCAAGGCGACGACGGGUAGCCGGCCUGAGAGGGCGACCGGCCACACUGGGACUGAGACACGGCCCAGACUCCUACGGGAGGCAGCAGUGGGGAAUAUUGCACAAUGGGCGAAAGCCUGAUGCAGCGACGCCGCGUGAGGGAUGACGGCCUUCGGGUUGUAAACCUCUUUCAGCAGGGACGAAGCGAGAGUGACGGUACCUGCAGAAGAAGCACCGGCCAACUACGUGCCAGCAGCCGCGGUAAUACGUAGGGUGCGAGCGUUGUCCGGAAUUACUGGGCGUAAAGAGCUCGUAGGCGGUUUGUCGCGUCGUCCGUGAAAACUUGGGGCUCAACCCCAAGCUUGCGGGCGAUACGGGCAGACUUGAGUACUGCAGGGGAGACUGGAAUUCCUGGUGUAGCGGUGAAAUGCGCAGAUAUCAGGAGGAACACCGGUGGCGAAGGCGGGUCUCUGGGCAGUAACUGACGCUGAGGAGCGAAAGCGUGGGUAGCGAACAGGAUUAGAUACCCUGGUAGUCCACGCCGUAAACGGUGGGCGCUAGGUGUGGGUUUCCUUCCACGGGAUCCGUGCCGUAGCUAACGCAUAAGC
rnacentral:rRNA from 1 species